rnacentral:tRNA from 1 species
GUCGUUGUAGUAUAGUGGUGAGUAUCCCCGCUUGUUACGCAGGAGACCCGGGUUCGAUCCCCGGCAAUGGCA